rnacentral:rRNA from 1 species
GGGGAUGACGCCAAGUCCUCAUGGCCCGUUAUAGGUGGGGCUACACACGUCAGUACAAUGGACCGGGUACAGAGGGUAAGCCAACCCGCGAGGGGAGCCAAUCCCACAAAGCCGGUCGUAGUCCGGAUCGCAGUCUGCAACUCGACUGCGUGAAGUCGGAAUCGCUAGUAAUCGCGGAUCAGCAUGUCGCGGUGAAUACGUUCUCGGGUCUU